UCCCCUGGAGAAGGGAACAGCUAUCCACUCCAGUGUUCUGGACUGGAGAAUUCCAUGGACUUUAUAGUCCAUAGGGUCGCAAAGAGUCGGACACGACUGGGUGAUUUUCACUUUCACUUUGGUAGGCAUACGUGGUCUUCUGCUACCUGCCAGGGGUUAGUGCACAUUCCUUCUACAAGGUAAAAGCAGGAACAUGAGCCGUGUCUUGACAAUAGACUAAAAGUACUUGCUAGGAGAAAGAGAAGGGGGUGCUCAAUGUCCCCCUCACCUGCUAUUGUUGUUCAGUUGCUAAGUCACAUCUGCCUCUUUGCAAAUACAGGGACUACAGCACAUCAGGCUUCCCUGUGCUUUCACUAUCUCUUGGAGUUUGCUCAAAUUCAUGUCCAUUGAGUUGGUGAUGCCAUCCCCACUAACCUGGCAGGUUAGUAAGUAAGCGUGAGGAUGACGCUAUGACUCUAACAAUGCUGAUGAAGAUGGUGGCAGCGGGGCUGGUGGUAUUAGUGACAAAUGAGAGGCUCAGAAAGUUGGAAAAUUGCUUUGCGUAACUAUUUUACUUAAUCCUCACAACAACCAAGUGAACUCAGUGCUCAUACAUUCAUUUAUGAAGAAUGGAACCGAGCGUCAGCCUCUGCACUGGGCAAGCUGGGAUUUGAGCCCAGGUCAAUCUAAUUCCAGAUCUGGAGCUUUAUGUUUCUACAUGGCACUAACUUAAUACCUUGAUGCCAAGAUUCCUGUCUAAGGGACGAGGUAAGUCAGCUCUAUUAUCUUUAGUUCUCCUAUGAUUGAAAUGGAGCUAUCUUUAUUUGAACGCUAUCUGUAAAUGAACUGGAGAUUCUCCUCGUGUCACACAGUUGGAAAAAGUAACGUUACAUAAAUGUCAUGAAGGAGCAGCAGGUGAAGAGUCUGUCUGUGAGUAAGAAGACAGCGUGGCCCAGAGGAGGGAACCUGUGUGUGGGGCUGGCCUGGCCAGCACCUGGACCCCCCCUGCCAACUGCGUGAUCUGCUGUGAUCUUACCCUUGUUCAGUCUCAGGUUCCCCUCACCUGGAGGUGGGGCUAAAGAUAGCCACCUUGAAGGGCUACUGGUACCCAUGGAGAAGAAAAAUUACAAAUAUCUGCAGUGCCUGUCAAGGAAAGUGCAACAUUGCCACUACUCAAAAAUGGUCAUAAGGUCCUAUGGUGGUAAUGACCCUUUUACAUUCCUGCUUAGAAACCACUAGUUUCAAUCAAAUCUGGGGAUAAAAUUAUAACGCCUUAACUCAGCAUAAAAUAGCUGUUCCUGAUCUGAUUCCUGCCCACGCCGUCAGGCCUGUUUUUAGCCAUUCUCGCUCUCACUGGGUUUUUGAUUGCUCGAAUAGUUUAAACAUUACCUUUCUACCCCAGGACCUUUGAACAUGCUGUGUCUGUGGCUUUCUAUUAACUCACUACUUGUGCUUGUCUUUGAGGUCUCAGGUUAAAUGUCGCUUCCCCAGGGAGCCUUCCCUGAACCCCAGAAAACAUCAGGCCCCAUUUAAUAUGUUCCCAUAACCGGGAGUUGGUGAUGGACAGGGAGGCCUGGCAUGCUGCCAUUCCUGGGGUCGCAAAGAGCUGGACACGACUGAGCGACUGAACUGAACUGAACCUUUUCUUACUUGGGAUACUCCUCACAGUGGAGUCGGGAGGAAACCAGGACCAGUGCUUUCCAGCUCCUAAUCAGAAGAUGAGGAAAAAGGGAUGGGAAGAGGUGAAAUAGACUGCCCCGCUGGAAAACAGCCCCGUCAUUUACAGAUCUGCCUCACCGAUGAAAAGAAUUUGACAUGUUGUUUGAAAAUUAACUUCCUCGGAGCAGUAUCAAGCUAGACUGUUCUCAGUGGACCUUGUCCUUCCAAUAGUAGCUGUCAAGAAGGUAAAUCAAGACACCAAAGGAAGAUAGUACACGAUGCCUCUCCUGGGAGGUUCUGUGAAGAGGAAAAAGGACAAAGCAACCAGAGAUGGUGGUGUUCGCCUUCUGCCUGCGGAGAACUGACUGUCAGCUGGAGGCUCUGAUUCACAGAAACACAGAGGUCACGUGAGAUAUAAAGUCAAACAGAAAGAGAUAUAUGUGUACCUGGAACAUUUUUUUAAAUAAUGAGUUGAUUUGGAGAAUUGGUUGAAUCCACUGGAAAGCAUUAUAAGACCCACCGCAUCUGUUCCAGUGGAUACACUGUCCACCCACCCAUUCACUCAACAGUAUUCAUGGACCACUUACUACCAGCUGGUUACUAGGAUAUGCAAAAACAAAAGCCCUUGACCUCACAGAACUUGCAUUCAGAUGAAGUGUCCAAGGAGAGAAGGCUUUCACUAUCCAUUGGAAACGUGGGGAAAGGGGAGGACCACUUGAGGAGUGGAGGGGAGGUGGACAGGUCCCAUCCUGCCAGCUCUUGUACUCUUAACAUUCAGAGAAAUGAGGAGCCAUUGAAGAUUUUUAAGUAGGGAAAUAAAAUGAUCAGAUUAGCUUCUAAGGGUCCUCUUUCAGCAUCCUCAUGGCUUCUGUACAUGUUCCGUUUCUCCCUGCUGCCCAUGUAGACAGAGUUUUCUAACAACCUCAGAAAACUGAGGGGAGCAGAGGCACUUUGGUGCAGAGAAACUGGAAAUGGGUGAAAAUGUUAUUUAUUUUUUCAGUUGAGUUUGGACUCUGGAAGCCACCAGGACUUCCCAGGUGGCUCAGAUGGUAAAGAGUCUGCCUGUAAUGCAGGAGACCUGGGUUCGAUCCCUGGGUCAGAAG